UUUGCCGGCAAUUAGAAGCCAAUUUCACGCGAUGCUUUCGCAGCGAGACCAUAAAUUUUGUGCGACAUUUGUCCGGCUGGACGCGACUUAAAUGGUUUAAGUUCAAUUGACUUUCUUGCACAAUAUGGCUUCAAGUACUAUGUACCCAACCUUUGCCGACUCUUUGGCUAUGGUGAGGGAACAUCUUGAGUAUGUGCGACAUGAGUCUGAAAUCUUUCAUUUGUCUUUGGAAAUGAGGAAGCGAAAAAGAACUUUUGAACAGGAUGUCGGCAUUUCUCGCAUCCACAUAAGAAAAAAUCCUGAUGUACUGGCAGACUUCAAAAAGGACGAGAUUACUCUAGCGCAUUUUAAUGCCUUAGUUCCAAAAAUGUUUUAUGGUGUAUCGUUAGACCCUCAAUUACCAACUAAUUUGAAAGCCUACCUGGUGAUUCCAGACGAAGAAGACUACAAACAAGAGUGAUUUUGCUAAAUGUAAACAAGUUACUUCAAUAAUAUAAACUUAUACAUAGAUAUACGUAUUACACACAACUGAAGCUAAGAAAUAAAUCCGAUUGCAUUGGCCGCAAUUAAGGCAGUCAUCAAUAAAGCCAUCAA